AUUGAACGCUGGCGGCAGGCUUAACACAUGCAAGUCGAGCGGAGAUGAGGUGCUUGCACCUUAUCUUAGCGGCGGACGGGUGAGUAAUGCUUAGGAAUCUGCCUAUUAGUGGGGGACAACAUUCCGAAAGGAAUGCUAAUACCGCAUACGUCCUACGGGAGAAAGCAGGGGAUCUUCGGACCUCGCGCUAAUAGAUGAGCCUAAGUCGGAUUAGCUAGUUGGUGGGGUAAAGGCCUACCAAGGCGACGAUCUGUAGCGGGUCUGAGAGGAUGAUCCGCCACACUGGGACUGAGACACGGCCCAGACUCCUACGGGAGGGAGCAGUGGGGAAUAUUGGACAAUGGGGGAAACCCUGAUCCAGCCAUGCCGCGUGUGUGAAGAAGGCCUUAUGGUUGUAAAGCACUUUAAGCGAGGAGGAGGCUACUGAGACUAAUACUCUUGGAUAGUGGACGUUACUCGCAGAAUAAGCACCGGCUAACUCUGUGCCAGCCGCCGCAGUAA
rnacentral:rRNA from 1 species